GGGAGACUGAUGGAGAAGAAGAGUUUGGGAGAAGCCCCAAGGACCAUCUGCCCCAUCAGAGUCACAUGCAGAGGGUCCUGCUCCUGCCGUUGGAAGUUGGCUUCCUGAGCUGCUGAACGUGCCAGUCCUGCUGACCCACUCUCAGAUAUCACAGGCACCCGCUGUGUCUGACAGAGACCUUUCUGCAAGUACACGUGCAGGUCUGCUCUGCAAAGGCGUUAUCAUCUGCAGAUUAUUGCACAGAGUGGCUACGAGCUGUGGUGUGAUCCUGUCACAGAGAGAGCCUGGUCACGUUUUCAGAACAGCAGGAAACAGGACGUCUGCAAGAGGAACUGAAAGAGAAACAGUCACUGGAAACACACGCUGAAGGCGGGGAUUGGGGCACAUAUUAAUAAAAUAGCUUGAGUA
rnacentral:lncRNA from 1 species